GACAGAGGAUGCAAGCGUUAUCCGGAAUGAUUGGGCGUAAAGCGUCUGUAGGUGGCUUUUUAAGUCCGCCGUCAAAUCCCAGGGCUCAACCCUGGACAGGCGGUGGAAACUACCAAGCUGGAGUACGGUAGGGGCAGAGGGAAUUUCCAGUGGAGCGGUGAAAUGCGUAGAUCUUGGAAAGACCACCAAUGGCGAAGGCACUCUACUGGGCCAUUACUGACACUAAGAGACGAAAGCUAGGGGAGCAAAUGGG
rnacentral:rRNA from 1 species